GAGGGUAUAGCUCAAGUGGUAGAGCGCAUGUUUAGCACGCAUGAGGCCCUGGGUUCAAUAGCCAGGACCACCA
rnacentral:tRNA from 1 species